GAUGAAGAACGCAGCGAAAUGCGAUAAGUAGUGUGAAUUGUAGAAUUCAGUGAAUCAUCGAAUCUUUGAACGCACAUUGCGCCCCUUGGUAUUCCAUGGGGCAUGCCUGUUCGAGCGUCAUUUGUACCUUCAAGCUCUGCUUGGUGUUGGGUGUUUGUCUCGCCUCUGCGUGUAGACUCGCCUCAAAACAAUUGGCAGCCGGCGUAUUGAUUUCGGAGCGCAGUACAUCUCGCGCUUUGCACUCAUAACGACGACGUCCAAAAGUACAUUUUUACACUCUUGACCUCGGAUCAGGUAGGGAUACCCGCUGAACUUAAGCAUAUCAAUAAGCGGAGGA
rnacentral:misc_RNA from 1 species